UACGAGCAGCAGAGUUCUAAUCCUGCAGGGAUGAUGGAAUAAGUGUGAGUUUGGGGUAUCCCGCUUGGUAAACAUGGUAAAAAGCUAUAUAGCUCGUUACCAUGUGUUAAAUUUCUCCAAGUGUUAAAUUUCUUCAAGUGUUAAAUUUCUUCAAAUACAAGUUAAAUAUUCAUAAUUUGUCUAUAAAAGCUUUUCAGUAUGUAUACAACAUAAAUACAUGUAUGGGUACUGCCUCAUAGAUGAGCAGAAGUUACACUGUAAACGUUCAGUACUGUUCUUUAUCGAUAAAACAAUCGUGGUGAACAGUGUCCAAAAAUAGCUACAAAGACCUGCACCUGCAAGGAUUCGCUGUGUACCGGCUGAUAUGAAAACCAGAUUUACAAAAUAUGUAGAUGAUAAGGAGAAUCAGCACCUCCAAAUCCGAGGCCAUGGUCCUCAGCCGGAAAGGAGUGGAGUGCCCACUCUGGGUCAGGAAUGAGUUCCUGCGUGGAGUGGAGGAGUUUAAGUAUCUCAGCGUUUUGUUGAGUGACGGGAGAAGGGAGCCGGACGUUGACAGACGGAUUGGUGACGUGGACGCUGUGCUGGUCCAUUGUGGUGAAGAGAGAGCUGAGUGUAAAAGCAAAGUAUUCAGUUUACCGGUUAAUCUACGUCCCCACCCUCACCUACAGUUUGAGCUGUGGGUGGUGACUGAAAACGAGAACAAGAUCGCAGAUACAAGCGGCGGAAAUGAGCUUCCUCUGAAGGGUUUCUGGCCUCUUCCUUAGAGAUGGGGACUCGGAAUAGAGCUGCUCCUCCACAUCGAAAGGAGCCAGUUGAGGUGUUUCGGGCAUCUGAUAAGGAUGCCUCCUGGGUGAGGUGUUCCGGGCAUGUCCCACCGGGAGGAGGCCCCGGGCAGACCCAGGACACGCUGGAGAGACUAUAUCUCUCGGCUGGCCUGGGAACCCCUUGGUGUUCCCCCGGACAAGCUGGAGGGGUUGGCUGAGGAGAGGGAGGUCUGGGCUUCUCUGUUUAUGCUGCUGCCCCCACGACCCUGCCCCGGAUAAGCUGAAGAAGAUGGAUGGAUGGAUGUACACCACCAACAUAGCAUUCAAAUGCAAAGCAAGGAGAUCUGCUCAUUAACUAACCUCCUUUAACUGACCUUUAAUUAGUAUUUUGAGGCUAUAACAGACGUCAGUCAGCCAGGACGAGGUGCAGCUAUUAGCGUCUUUGGAAUUCAAUUCAAUUCAAUUUUAUUUAUAUAGCGCCAAAUCACAACAAAAGUUGCCUCAAGGCGCUUCAUAACCACAGAAUUGUGGUUGUAUACACGCCUUAAUGAUAACUGUGUUUCUCAGAGCGUUGUCAGCAGGAAAUAGACAUAGCUCUGGAUGGGAAGGAUCAAGCCAGUUUUGAAGACACCAGAUGCCCUGUGUGCAGGUAGAUUCAACUUUAUUCUUUUUUUAGAGAGACUAUUAACCCGUCAUUGCUUUAAAGUCACCAAGAAGACAAACAGGCACAAUAAACUUAGCCUGAAUAUUUACAUAGUCUGAAAUAAUGUGUUAUAAAAGGAUGCUGAUGUUUCUUUGAUGUGGUAACAACGUAGUGUGAUAUUUGUCAUGCAGGCUGUUAUUCACGAGGUCCAGAGGAUGGCUAACACUGUUCCCCUCAGCAUUUUUCACCGCACUACUAAAGACACUCAGUUAAUGGGAUACUCGAUACCCAAGCUACAUAUCAAAGAAAUAGAAACAAUUUGCUUGAAUAAAACAUUUGACAAAAUAUCUCAAAUGGUCUCUCUGGUUCUUACUAACCACCAGAAAAUUACAAGCUACCCUUCAUUAUCCUUCAGUUUCACAAAAUACUACGUGUGGGGUUUUUUUGCGAGGUUGUUGGUGUGAAGUUGAAAUAAACAAUAACUAUUAGUCUUUGAGCAUUAACAAAUUUAUCCUGUACAUCCUCAACAAGAAAGACGGACGUGGUCACUAAGAUGUCAUCGACUGGUUUGUAGACUCUGCACUUUUUGUUUUUUGACCUUUGACCUGUGACUGACCAGUUAAUGAAUCCGUUCUUUAUUCUACAAACUCAGAUACAAAACAAAAGAUAAAACUACCAUUUAUAUGUGGACAGGAGGAUGGCGUGCUCAAUAGUUAUCCAUAAACUGUAUGUGUGAAACCCAUACACAUGUAACAACUCCUAAGUUUAGCAGAAAGCUGUUGACUCCAGCCGUGUCAGCACAGUUUCUGAUACUUUUGUGUAGGCUUCAUAUUUCUGCCCUGGACAUUACUGCUUGGUCAGCAUUAUUGUUUAAAGGUAAAUGAUUGGCUCCUCAGGCGAGCCUGCGCGUGCUUCCUCAUUAGUCAAACGGGAAUCUGCAGGUGAACUGCUAAUAUUUUUUUGUGUACUUUUGAAAAUUUGGCCUGAUUUUGGAACUUAAAGACAGUAGGACUUAAUCCCUGAGGCUAAUCUGCAGUGAUGGAUAUGUGACACAAGUCACCAUUAGUUUGUGAUUCACUCAGAUCAUUAAAACAUAGGUCUGUUGCUGUGGUUUUACUGUACAAGCGUUACAUGUGUACUUAAUAAUGACACAAAGAUAUUUAAGAUAUGCUCACAAAUGAAUCAAUUCUGUCUUUUCUGGCUGACAUAAAGGCACGCUGCACGCUGUUCACUUUCACCAGCAGCCUUUUGAUGGUAGGACAGCGCUGUAUUAUGGAAGCUUUUGUGUGGAUGCUGUAUUGUUUGACCGGG
ensembl:lncRNA